GUUAAAACAACGGUUCACGUCCUAUCACCGAAGUUAAGCAACGUCGAACCUAGUCACUACUUUGAUGGGUGAACGCAUGGGAAUACCAGGAUCUGUA